rnacentral:rRNA from 1 species
GACGAACGCUGGCGGCAUGCCUAACACAUGCAAGUUGAGCGCUGACGGCUGGUACUUGUACCCACUGGAUGAGCAGCGAACGGGUGAGUAACGCGUGGGCAAUCUACCUCAGAGCGGUGGACACCAUUUGGAAACGAAUGCUACUACCGCAUAAAAAAUUUAAACACAAGUUUUACGUUUGAAAGAUGCAAUUGCAUCACUUAAAGAUGAUCCAGCGCUGUAUUGGCUAGUUGGUGAGGUAAAGUCGCACCAAGGCGAGGAUACGUAGCCGACCAGAGAGGGUGAGCGGCCAAGCUGGGACGGGAACACGGCCCACACUCCUACGAGAGGCACACGUAGGGGAUCUUCGGCGAUGGACGAAAGGCUGAACGAGCAACGCCGGGUGAGUGAAUGAGGUUGUCGGGUCGUGAAACUGUGUUGGUAGAGAAGAUCGUAGAGGAGAGUUGAAAGCUCAUCUAGUGACGGUAACUACCCAGAAAGGGACGGCUAACUACGUG